rnacentral:rRNA from 1 species
AUUGAACGCUGGCGGCAGGCCUAACACAUGCAAGUCGAGCGAGCGGAGGAGGGGGGAGUAAAGUAUGGGGACUGCCCGAAAGAGGGGGAGAAAAACUGGAAACGGGAGCUAAUACCGCAUACUAUCGGAUAACCCAUAUGGGAUUAGCUAGUAGGUGAGGGAAUGGCUCACCUAGGCGACGAUCCCUAGCUGGUCUGAGAGGAGGAUCAGCCACACUGGGACUGAGACACGGCCCAGACUCCUACGGAGGCAGCAGUGGGGAAUAUUGCACAAUGGGCGCAAGCCUGAUGCAGCCAUGCCGCGUGUAUGAAGAAGGCCCUAGGGUUGUAAAGUACUUUCAGUCGGGAGGCGUUACCGACAGAAUAAGCACCGGCUAACUCCGUGCCAGCAGCCGCGGUAAUUC